rnacentral:rRNA from 1 species
AACGAACGCUGGCGGCAUGCCUAACACAUGCAAGUCGAACGAGACCUUCGGGUCUAGUGGCGCACGGGUGCGUAACGCGUGGGAACCUGCCCUUAGGUUCGGAAUAACUCCCCGAAAGGGGUGCUAAUACCGGAUAAUGUCUUCGGACCAAAGAUUUAUCGCCUUUGGAUGGGCCCGCGUUGGAUUAGCUAGUUGGUAGGGUAAAAGCAUACCAAGGCGACGAUCCAUAGCUGGUCUGAGAGGAUGAUCAGCCACACUGGGACUGAGACACGGCCCAGACUCCUACGGGAGGCAGCAGUGGGGAAUAUUGGACAAUGGGCGAAAGUCUGAUCCAGCAAUGCCGCGUGAGUGAUGAAGGCCUUAGGGUUGUAAAGCUCUUUUACCCGGGAUGAUAAUGACAGUACCGGGUGAAUAAGCUCCGGCUAACUCCGUG